rnacentral:miRNA from 1 species
AUAUUUAACAACCCUUGUUAAUAAAAUAAAAUAUCAAAAUUAUUAAUAAAAUAAUUAUAUUAUCUUUUAUGAAAAAUGGGGUGUUACAAUAUUCAACUUAUU